rnacentral:rRNA from 1 species
UUAAACUGGUUUGGGAAAACCAAAUAUAUUAUAUAUUUUGCUUUGUUCCAAAUAAGGUUUUCUAAUAAAUUAUGUUUUUAUCAGAUAUGACAGAAUCUUUUUUAAAAUCUCUUCAAUAUGCUUUUAUUGCUUUUGAGAGGUUUUGUUACUUUGAGUAAAAUUAAGUGUUCAUAACAGACGGGUAGUCAUGAUUGAGUUCAUUGUGU